CCUACGGGAGGCAGCAGUGGGGAAUCUUGCGCAAUGGCCGAAAGGCUGACGCAGCGACGCCGCGUGUGGGAUGAAGCAUUUCGGUGUGUAAACCACUGUUGCCCGGGACGCGGUACCGGGUGAGGAAGCACCGGCUAACUCCGUGCCAGCAGCCGCGGUAAUACGGAGGGUGCGAGCGUUGUCCGGAAUCACUGGGCGUAAAGGGCGCGUAGGCGGCGCGGGCAGUCAACGGUGAAAGCUUGGGGCUCAACCCCGAGUCGGCCGUCGAUACUCCCGUGCUUGAGCACUGUAGAGGCAGGUGGAAUUCCGGGUGUAGCGGUGGAAUGCGUAGAGAUCCGGAAGAACACCGGUGGCGAAGGCGGCCUGCUGGGCAGUGCUGACGCUGAGGCGCGACAGCGUGGGGAGCAAACAGGAUUAGAUACCCUUGUAGUC
rnacentral:rRNA from 1 species